AACGAACGCUGGCGGCAGGCCUAACACAUGCAAGUCGAGCGCGCCCUUCGGGGUGAGCGGCGGACGGGUGAGUAACGCGUGGGAACGUGCCCUUCUCUGCGGAACAGCCUCGGGAAACUGAGAGUAAUACCGCAUACGCCCUUUGGGGGAAAGAUUUAUCGGAGAAGGAUCGGCCCGCGUUGGAUUAGGUAGUUGGUGGGGUAAUGGCCCACCAAGCCGACGAUCCAUAGCUGGUUUGAGAGGAUGAUCAGCCACACUGGGACUGAGACACGGCCCAGACUCCUACGGGAGGCAGCAGUGGGGAAUCUUAGACAAUGGGGGCAACCCUGAUCUAGCCAUGCCGCGUGAGUGAUGAAGGCCUUAGGGUUGUAAAGCUCUUUCAGCUGGGAAGAUAAUGACGGUACCAGCAGAAGAAGCCCCGGCUAACUCCGUG
rnacentral:rRNA from 1 species